UGCAGAUCCUCUAUUCUUUAAUUGCAUAUCGAUGUUUAUCACUCUCAUUCCAGCCAAAUUGUUUUGUUUUCUGCAGAUCGAAAUGUUGGGAUGGUCGCCCAGUCUUCCAACUGUUAGAAUAUGAGCAUGAGUAUGAAUCGGUAAACUUGGUUGUAGGAUUAGAGAUUGAAUAGGAAGUCUUGUUGAGAAUGGAUUUGCAAAUCCAUGUUGUAAUUGGACUGCUAUUUGGAAUGAAUUGGUAUUCCAUAUGGAUUUUAAUAGGGGAAUCCUUAUAGAAUUUGGCUAAGAUUGUAUAGUAUAUAUAUGGUGGCCUUUGCUCUCGCACUGUGGACUCAAUAUAAGACUAAGACCUAUUAUUAGUUGAGAACCUUGAACACUAAAGAUAGGAGAAGGUGCACUGCAACAUUGUUACAGAAAUCAGACAUGGCAAUCGGUUCAAGUUCAUCUACAGCGGAAGAACGACAUCGACUUACCAUCAAAGCCGCCUAGUCAGUCGUUGAGGCCUCCUAGCCCGCCCAGUGCCCGUCUAGGCGCCUCCUAAUACCCUUUCCGAUUUCUUCAACAAUUUUGGUUUAAUCACAACGGCGAACCACCGCCUAGGCCGCAUUUUCAAACACUGGUUAAGAGUUCAAGAUUUGUGGGUGUGUGUGUGCGCGCAAUUGCUUGUGGCCACGUUAUUUGUGAAUGAGGAUCCUAUUCGGAUAUUUUUUGUGAUAAUAUCAAUAAUUCUUCAAUCGGGUUCA